UGCAAGUCGUACGCUUCUUUUUCCACCGGAGCUUGCUCCACCGGAAAAAGAGGAGUGGCGAACGGGUGAGUAACACGUGGGUAACCUGCCCAUCAGAAGGGGAUAACACUUGGAAACAGGUGCUAAUACCGUAUAACAAUCGAAACCGCAUGGUUUUGAUUUGAAAGGCGCUUUCGGGUGUCGCUGAUGGAUGGACCCGCGGUGCAUUAGCUAGUUGGUGAGGUAACGGCUCACCAAGGCCACGAUGCAUAGCCGACCUGAGAGGGUGAUCGGCCACAUUGGGACUGAGACACGGCCCAAACUCCUACGGGAGGCAGCAGUAGGGAAUCUUCGGCAAUGGACGAAAGUCUGACCGAGCAACGCCGCGUGAGUGAAGAAGGUUUUCGGAUCGUAAAACUCUGUUGUUAGAGAAGAAUAAGGAUGAGAGUAACUGUUCAUCCCUUGACGGUAUCUAACCAGAAAGCCACGGCUAACUACGUGCCAGCAGCCGCGGUAAUACGUAGGUGGCAAGCGUUGUCCGGAUUUAUUGGGCGUAAAGCGAGCGCAGGCGGUUUCUUAAGUCUGAUGUGAAAGCCCCCGGCUCAACCGGGGAGGGUCAUUGGAAACUGGGAGACUUGAGUGCAGAAGAGGAGAGUGGAAUUCCAUGUGUAGCGGUGAAAUGCGUAGAUAUAUGGAGGAACACCAGUGGCGAAGGCGGCUCUCUGGUCUGUAACUGACGCUGAGGCUCGAAAGCGUGGGGAGCAAACAGGAUUAGAUACCCUGGUAGUCCACGCCGUAAACGAUGAGUGCUAAGUGUUGGAGGGUUUCCGCCCUUCAGUGCUGCAGCUAACGCAUUAAGCACUCCGCCUGGGGAGUACGACCGCAAGGUUGAAACUCAAGAAAUUGACGGG
rnacentral:rRNA from 1 species